UACGUAGGUGGCAAGCGUUGUCCGGAAUUAUUGGGCGUAAAGCGCGCGCAGGCGGUUCCUUAAGUCUGCUGUGAAAGCCCACGGCUCAACCGUGGAGGGUCAUUGGAAACUGGGGAACUUGAGUGCAGGAGAGAAGAGUGGAAUUCCACGUGUAGCGGUGAAAUGCGUAGAGAUGUGGAGGAACACCAGUGGCGAAGGCGACUCUUUGGCCUGUAACUGACGCUGAGGCGCGAAAGCGUGGGGAGCAAACAGG
rnacentral:rRNA from 1 species